UUUGAUCAGAAGCUCUAGAAUGACUAAAUGGACUUUGUAGUGAGAUUAUUUUGUUGUCUGUUUCCAAUGUGAAGAGUGAACUUUCCGAUCUCAAGUAGCGACCAGCGACUUUGAUUUUAACCUACAGUGCGGAACUUUUACAUAUAAAUGAGUGUCCGUUACAUUCAAGCCCUUGCCAAACGACUUCACACAAUGCUGAUUAAGCAUAUCACCGUAUAUCACCACCAUAUCACAAGUAUCUGAUUUUCACAGUAUACAGAGUUCUUAAAUCUCAUGUCGGGAGGGACAUUCCCGCGCUGGCUGUUUGAAUGCGCACCCAAAGACUUACCCUGGCCGAGUCAGCUAACUUCCGGUUGGCCCUCUGCUAACUUAAUUGAAUCGUGCGGCUAUCCUAGACUUUCCAAAUAUUAUCGGACCGAAUGGAUCAAAUUCUGAUAGUGAAUCGAGUCAUUUCGCGGGGGAUUGCUCGCGGCAAUCUAUCCAACAUUUUACAUCCGCGACAGUGGCGAAGGAGUAGGCUACAGCGUAGCCAAUGAGUGAUAUCAUUGAAGAACUGAAGGAAGGUGGCUGUUCAACACAAGAUUUGAGGGGUUUUUUUAAUAAGCAGGGAAAGCAAAAGACAGAAAGUGUUGAUGAUCAUUGAGGAGAACGACAGUCAAACUUAAAACUAAAAAGAACUAAAUGAUUUACUUCACUGUUGGGUUGUUUGGGUGGAGAUGUGACAAUGGACUAGUUGAAAAAAGGGUUAUUGAAUAUGAGAAAAAGGAAGAACAGAAGAUGGUUUAUCAUAAGCAGGUGAAUAUAAUGACAUGAAUGGAGAAUACAGUAAAUAUCACACUAUGUAAGUCUCUAAUAAAGCAUGACAUAAAUAUCAGCCCACUAAAGAAAUGCUUCAUCUACUGCCACUGUUUGAAUUUAUAAAAACUGAUCCUCCCAAAAUCAGACUAAAAUAACCUCCUUCAUAACUAUGUUGGCUUAACUUUACCAUACUUAUCUCCACUUCUACUUAAGAGAAUAAACAGCUUCUUUCUUUUCUCCCACAUCAGCUACCAAACCAAAUUCUGAACCCGAGGCAACUGUACAUGCAAGAACACAAUCCUCAUGCAAGGACAAACCCAUGACUUUUUCACUGACUUGAAGACAAAUUUGGUACAGUCUUUUUUGCACGCUGUAUUAUUGCUCAUGAUGAUAAAGUCUUGGGCUUUUUUGACACAUAAGAGAGAAACAGAGCUUGCAUAUCCAACAUUCUGCCAAGAAGGCUGGAUGCAAAUUGGUAGAUAAAGUAUACUGAGGGAUAAAAGGAAAUGUCUGCACUUAACAAAAAUCAGCUUAAAUGCUUUUGAUUAAAACAGCACCAGAAGAGAGGAAAUGUAUUUGCUUUUGUUGGUUAUUCCACCCAUACAGUGAGCUGCAGAAAGAGAUUAAGGUCUUUUAGUUGUUAUUCAGACUUGAGAGAAAUAAUUGGAUUAGGUGGUUAUUACAGUUUAGAUUUCAAAAUUGAUCUAUUUGCAUUACAAGGAAAAUUCACAGAUAUAAAGUUUUACUUAUCUAUUAUUUGAUCAGUUUGAUGGGGUUUUGAUUGGCAGAGAAACAAUUUUUUAAAACUUUUUAUUAACUUAAUGUGAGUACAAAAUAAUAAAAAGCGAUUAAAAAUACACAGGAUCAUUUUGAAAUGGUAUGAAGCUCAACAUGUAGAUUCUUUCUCAGCUCUACUAAAAUUUAUAAAGAACAGAACAGACUUAAGUUGUCCACAGAUCAGCAUUUUUAGGGUGAAUCAUUAAUAAAAACAAAAAAUCAAAGUGGCCCCAAGCAACUUCAUUGUGUGACUCCUCAAGAUACUUUUUUGAUCUGCACCAACAUUACCUCUACAAGAGAGGUAAUGCUCCAUCAAGGCAAGAGCUGAAGGUGAAAAACCAUAACAUUUAAUGCUUGGCAAGAAAAAUAAUAUAAUCUGUAACAAAAAUACUGCUGCAAAGUCUAGAUGGAGGACAGCCCUGAUUAAUUUGGGGACCACUGAUCAGUCAUGAUGCAGUAGUGAAAAAGUGUCCUGGUCUACAAGCAUAUUGGGCUUUGAUAAGACAGAUUUUACAAUUUGUCUGAAAGUAAUCAAGUAUCUUACUCAGCAGAGGAAAUAUACCAGUGGUUCGACAAUUAGACCCUUUAAAACCUACCUUUCCAUCUUUGGGUAAAGACUUAAGUCAGCAGUAUGUGCCAAACAUUUGCUGAUUACUGAUAUUAAGAAGGUGCAUUUUGGUCAUAAAUAAUUUCUUAACUGCUCUGUAUAAAACUUACAUAACUGCAUGCUGGGGAACUGGAGGUGCCUCUGGACAUAUUCUGUUAAACCAUGGGGCUCAACAAAAUGCUGUGAUUUAGGAUAGAACAGAAACGUCUCACAUUACUCUAAGUUUCAUCUUGAAGUUUAAAUGGGUUUUACUGCCUUGAAGGCUUUGAAAACAGGUUGAUCAUGAAAUGUUCAUGAUGUCCCCAGACCUCUUAAUCUCAUCCUGCUUUCUGCUCCUUCUCCUGCUCUCAUAUGAAGAUAUAAUGAAUUUCCUCUAAUCAUACUGCAAGAGAUAAAGUGUAAAUAUCAAAGUACAAUAACAGCUUUUCUGGCUCUAAAUGAACUGUAAUUAUAUUAUUGUGGUUGUCAACAUCCAGAAGCUACUAUAUAUCAAAAAGUGGGUUGGUGUGCGGGAUAAAUUCAAGCAAUCUGAGCAUAAGAGAAGUUUAUGAGUCAUAAUUAAAAGAGAACAGUUCAGACAAUUUUAUUCUACUUGUCCAUGCAUUUAGAUUUAAGGGCACUCAAGUGGCAAAACACUGAGCUACAAAAAGCUUGGAAAAAGAAGGCUUACAAAGUCAGUGUGUUCCUUGUAAAUACUCAUCUGCGUUCCAUCUGUAAAGCUACUGUAGAUUUUUGUCAUCAUGGGGAAUAAUUUGUGCUCCUUCUCUAUAAUAUUCACCAUGUAUUAUAAUGUGUAAUAUUAGAUGCACUGAUUAUGUAUUCAUACUGUGCAGUAAAAACAAAGUUUAUGUAUUAUUAAUAAUUACGUUUACUACAACAAUUCAUCUCCCCUGCGUGGGAAAUUGAAACUAAUGAUGACAUAAUGUGGUGUACGAUUUUCUUUCUCUAUGGUGCUGUUCAUUAAAAGCAUUUCAACUUUAA